CCAAACGUCUCAGACGUCAUCAGCGCAGACCGUGCGGGAAGGGAAGGUGCGGCCGCAGUGGGUUCACAUUCUGGAGUAAGAGAGGUAAAGAAGUCAUGAGAAGAUGGAGCAAUAUUCGAGACUCCUUUGCAAAGUCUUUCAAAAAAAUAGAAGAAAGCAAGAGAUCUGGAGCUGGGGCAGUGAAGCAUAGGAAAUAUGUGUUUCAUGACCAGAUGCAAUUCUUAAAAAAAUUGUAUGUGUGUCGGGAUACUGAAGAAAAUUUCACUCUGGAGGAUGUCAUACCAGAUAACCCAGUUGAAGAUGCUGUGAGGGAAAACUCAGUUCCUGAAAAUGAGCCCAAAAAUACAACAGAGACUCUACCAACACCAGCAGCCAGUGCCACACAUGGUGGUUUUCGACCACAAACACGCCGCCGUAAGCCAGAUGAAGUAGAAUUAAAACUGCUAAAGGCUCUGGAACCUGAAAAGCCAAAUCGUCAUAUAUCUUUCUUUCAGGGGAUCAUGCCUGCUUUAGAGAAAUUAGACGAAGAUGAAAUAUUACAGUUCCAAAUGGGGGUUCUUCAACUGAUUUCUAAUAUAAAUCAGCAGAAGCGGAGAUCCUUGCAGCCUUCGCCCCUGCCUUAUCAGUCUAUGCCAAUGCACCAAACACUAUUGCAAGCAAUGCCUCCACAACAACCUUAUGGCCAAAAUCCUAUGCAACAAGCCCAACCUCCGCUAACAUCUCAAUUGUACCCACAUUUUGGAAACAUGCCUCCAAUAAAUAGCCCUCAAAGUUGUCCCUCUCAAACUCCAUCCCCUGCACCGUCUUCUGGUUCAUACAGUUCCGUGGACUUUUCAUCACUGCACCCAUUAUAAAUACCAAUCUAGCCCUGAUUCUACCAAAUUUGUUACAAAUCACACACAUGGUGCAUAACACAUGCAAUUUAAUUUCCACCGUUGGCUGUUUGUUACAUUUGUUACCUAAUGUUUUGGAUAUAAGUUAAUUGCAAAUAUUGCUCAUACUUUAAAUAUGUCCAUUUUCAGUGUGAAAUAAAAACAUUGUACUUUCAAA